AUUGAACGCUGGCGGAAUGCUUUACACAUGCAAGUCGAACGGCAGCACGGGGCAACCUGGUGGCGAGUGGCGAACGGGUGAGUAAUACAUCGGAACGUGCCCAGUCGUGGGGGAUAACGUAGCGAAAGCUACGCUAAUACCGCAUACGAUCUACGGAUGAAAGCGGGGGAUCGCAAGACCUCGCGCGAUUGGAGCGGCCGAUGGCAGAUUAGGUAGUUGGUGGGGUAAAGGCUCACCAAGCCGACGAUCUGGAGCUGGUCUGAGAGGACGACCAGCCACACUGGGACUGAGACAAGGCCCAGACUCCUACGGGAGGCAGCAGUGGGGAAUUUUGGACAAUGGGCGAAAGCCUGAUCCAGCCAUUCCGCGUGCAGGAUGAAGGCCCUCGGGUUGUAAACUGCUUUUGUACGGAACGAAAAGGCUCUGGUUAAUACCUGGGGCUCAUGACGGUACCGUAAGAAUAAGCACCGGCUAACUACGUGCCAGCCGCCGCCGUAA
rnacentral:rRNA from 1 species